rnacentral:rRNA from 1 species
UAAGCGAAUGGUGAAAUCUGGUGGCUCAACCACACAGACUAUUAUUCGAACUGGCAUGCUCGAGAGUAGCAGAGGUAACUGGAAUUUCUAGUGUAGGAGUGAAAUCCGUAGAUAUUAGAAGGAACACCAAUGGCGUAGGCAGGUUACUAGGCUAUUUCUGACACUAAGGCACGAAAGCGUGGGAGCGAACGGGAUUAGAUACCCCGGUAGUCCACGCCGUAAACUAUGGAUACUA